GAUCCUGGCUCAGGAUAAACGACUGCGGCGCACAUAAGACAUGCAAGUCGAACGAACUUAAUACCUUGCUUGCAAGGUAAGCGGUUAGUGGCGGACUGGUGAGUAACACGUAAGAAAUCUGCCUAUCAGAGGGGAAUAACAAGUGAGAAAUCACUGCUAAUACCGCAUAUGCCAUAACUAUCGCAUGAUAGAAGUGGGAAAGGAGCAAUCCGCUGAUAGAUGAGCUUGCGUCUGAUUAGCUAGUUGGUGGGGUAAAGGCCUACCAAGGCGACGAUCAGUAGCCGGACUGAGAGGUUGAACGGCCACAUUGGGACUGAGAUACGGCCCAGACUCCUACGGGAGGCAGCAGUCGGGAAUAUUGCGCAAUGGAGGAAACUCUGACGCAGUGACGCCGCGUAUAGGAAGAAGGUUUUCGGAUUGUAAACUAUUGUCCACAGGGAAGAAAAAGACUGUACCUGUGAAGCAAGCUCCGGCUAACUACGUG
rnacentral:rRNA from 1 species